UACGUAGGCAGCAAGCGUUGUUCGGAAUUACUGGGCGUAAAGAGUGUGUAGGCGGUGCUCUAAGUUCGGUGUGAAAUCUCCCGGCUUAACUGGGAGGGUGCGCCGGAAACUGGAGUGCUUGAGCGCGGGAGAGGAAAGCGGAAUUCCUGGUGUAGCGGUGAAAUGCGUAGAUAUCAGGAGGAACACCUGUGGUGUAGACGGCUUUCUGGACCAGUACUGACGCUGAGAGACGAAAGCGUGGGGAGCAAACAGG
rnacentral:rRNA from 1 species